GCCGGUGACAAACCGGAGGAAGGUGGGGAUGACGUCAAGUCAUCAUGGCCCUUACGGCCUGGGCUACACAACGUGCUACAAUGGUCGGUACAAAGGGUUGCCAAGCCGCGAGGUGGAGCUAAUCCCAUAAAAACCGAUCGUAGUCCGGAUCGCAGUCUGCAACUCGACUGCGUGAAGUCGGAAUCGCUAGUAAUCGUGAAUCAGAAUGUCACGGUGAAUACGUUCCCGGGCCUU
rnacentral:rRNA from 1 species